rnacentral:lncRNA from 1 species
UCUUCCAGGUGGGAAAGCAGUGUAGCCUUGAGGAAUCAGAUGCAACACAAAUGAACAGCGUUUAUUUUCAUGUGCAUUUCUACAACUGAAGUACCAUGGGAAACGAGUUCUGUGAUGUGUGUUCAGUGUCUGUAAUACGGCAAGAGACACUAUUUCUCACCACCUUUCCUCACCCUCUUCCUGAUGCAGUGCUGCAGAGCAAGACGGGAUGUGAGACAGGAGGUACUGCAAAAACGAGAGUGAAGGCUCAGCUUCACCUCUCUGGAGAUAAAACCUUACAAGCAGCCACGAUCCCUUCCCCGAGCCUCUCUCUGUCACGAUGACAAGCAGCUCACUGCUGUCAGGCCCGUGUAGGAAAUCCACACAGCGACACGGAGAAUGUUUAUUGUGGAGGGAGAACUUUUGCCCUGUGAAGUCACCUCCUACCAGUCACCAGGUGUGGAGUCCUCACGGGCACAUCACUUUCCUCUGCUCUUCUGCUGGGGUUUCAAUAUGGGAUCACAGUAGCUACCUCAGCAAGCGAGCAAGACAGCAUGAACCUUUAUCUGAGAACUAUUCAGAAGGUGAACACCAGCAUUGUGCCAGCCUGCAGUGGCUGCACCAGGUUAUUGCAACCCCAGAGCACGUAGUCUCCAGACCUACAAGCAAGGGAUUAUAAAGCUGUUUCCAGAGGGUGCCCAUGUGACUGAGAAGCAUAUGCACAGUUUUUAAAAAGUGACUUACUGAGAGAUGAUGGACUCGGC